ACUUCAACGUAUUCAAGAGAGAAAGAGGAAGGUGAGAUUGCUGAUAAUUGGGAAUCAAGUCACCAUCCAAGAACUCUUACUCCUUUCCAAUGGGAGGAUGAGUGGGAUGACAAAGGGAGAAAGAGAGAUCUUACAUUGCCGGAGCCGUCAAACGGCAGCGUGAGGGGUUGCCUUGCAAGAUGGGAUGUUGUGGGGAGGUGACGGCGGUGGUUGGCAGCAGCAUGCAGCAGCGGCGCAAGGAGGGGACGGCGAUAAGUGUAAAGAGGUGGAGCAACCAUCCCUUGCAGCGAGGCAGAGGGCAGCGGAGGUGGAGAUUGGCGGCGGCCGAGAGGCCAAGAAAGAGGACAGAAGCCGAGAGAGGUGUGACGAAGAACAGGGGAAAGAGAGAAGUAGAAGAGUACCAAGAUGAAAAGGAGAGGAGCACCGAGAGAGAGAAGAGGUGACACCGGAAAAGGGGGCCGACGGCGACGGCGGUUGACACUGGAUCCCAAGAGAGAAGGAAGAGUUUCUCUCCUCGUUUUAGAUUUGGAGUGAUGAAGAAGACUUCUACCCCCUACGUCGCACAAAAGAUGUCACACUUAUGGGACGACACGGGAUUUAUGAGGUUUUGUUUUGUGUGUUAAAUGAAGAGAGAAAAUAUAAUUUGUAUAUUAUGUGAGAGAGAACUUUUUCCAAAAAUGGAAAUGUGACAUUUUUGUGGGACGAACUAAAAAGGAAAGUGUAACAUCUUUUACGUGGGCUGCUGCUCCUCUUAA